UACGAAGGGGGCUAGCGUUGCUCGGAAUCACUGGGCGUAAAGCGCCCGUAGGCGGCUUCUUAAGUCAGGGGUGAAAUCCUGGAGCUCAACUCCAGAACUGCCUUUGAUACUGGGAGUCUCGAGUCCGGGAGAGGUGAGUGGAACUGCGAGUGUAGAGGUGAAAUUCGUAGAUAUUCGCAAGAACACCAGUGGCGAAGGCGGCUCACUGGCCCGGUACUGACGCUGAGGUGCGAAAGCGUGGGGAGCAAACAGG
rnacentral:rRNA from 1 species